rnacentral:rRNA from 1 species
AGUGAACGCUGGCGGUAGGCCUAACACGUGCAAGUCGAACGGCAGCACAGUAAGAGCUUGCUCUUACGGGUGGCGAGUGGCGGACGGGUAAGGAAUACAUCGGAAUCUACUUUUUCGUGGGGGAUAACGUAGGGAAACUUACGCUAAUACCGCAUACGACCUACGGGUGAAAGCAGGGGAUCUUCGGACCUUGCGCGAUUGAAUGAGCCGAUGUCGGAUUAGCUAGUUGGCGGGGUAAAGGCCCACCAAGGCGACGAUCCGUAGCUGGUCUGAGAGGAUGAUCAGCCACACUGGAACUGAGACACGGUCCAGACUCCUACGGGAGGCAGCAGUGGGGAAUAUUGGACAAUGGGCGCAAGCCUGAUCCAGCCAUACCGCGUGGGUGAAGAAGGCCUUCGGGUUGUAAAGCCCUUUUGUUGGGAAAGAAAAGCAGCAGGUUAAUACCCCGCUGUUCUGACGGUACCCAAAGAAUAAGCACCGGCUAACUUCGUG